CUACCUACGGGAGGCAGCAGUGGGGGAUAUUGCACAAUGGGGGGAACCCUGAUGCAGCGACGCCGCGUGGGUGAAGGAGCGUUUCGGCGCGUAAAGCCCUAUCGGCAGGGAAGAAGAUGACGGUACCUGACCAAGAAGCCCCGGCUAACUACGUGCCAGCAGCCGCGGUAAUACGUAGGUGGCAAGCGUUAUCCGGAUUUACUGGGUGUAAAGGGCGGGUAGGCGGGAAAGCAAGUCAGAUGUGAAAA
rnacentral:rRNA from 1 species